AGAGUUUGAUCCUGGCUCAGAAUCAACGCUGGCGGCGUGCCUAACACAUGCAAGUCGAACGCGAAAGGGGCUUCGGCCCUGAGUAGAGUGGCGAACGGGUGAGUAACGCGUGGGUGACCUACCUUCGAGUGGGGGAUAACGUUCCGAAAGGAGCGCUAAUACCGCAUGAAGUUCCGGGUUUGAACAUCUGGAAACCAAAGCCGGGGAUCGCAAGACCUGGCGCUUGGAGAGGGGCCCGCGUCUGAUUAGCUAGUUGGCGGGGUAAUGGCCCACCAAGGCGACGAUCAGUAGCCGGCCUGAGAGGGCGGACGGCCACACUGGGACUGAGACACGGCCCAGACUCCUACGGGAGGCAGCAGUGGGGAAUUGUUCGCAAUGGGCGCAAGCCUGACGACGCAACGCCGCGUGGGGGAUGAAGGUCUUCGGAUUGUAAACCCUUGUCGAGCGGGACGAAUGGCCCGCGACCUAACACGUCGUGGGAGUGACGGUACCGCUAAAGGAAGCCACGGCUAACUCUGUGCCAGCAGCCGCGGUAAUACAGAGGUGGCAAGCGUUGUUCGGAAUUACUGGGCGUAAAGGGCGCGUAGCGGCCUUCUAAGUCA
rnacentral:rRNA from 1 species